UACGUAGGGUCCGAGCGUUGUCCGGAAUUAUUGGGCGUAAAGAGCUCGUAGGCGGUCUGUCGCGUCGGCUGUGAAAACACGGGGCUCAACUCCGUGCCUGCAGUCGAUACGGGCAGACUAGAGUUCGGUAGGGGAGACUGGAAUUCCUGGUGUAGCGGUGAAAUGCGCAGAUAUCAGGAGGAACACCGAUGGCGAAGGCAGGUCUCUGGGCCACUACUGACGCUGAGAAGCGAAAGCAUGGGGGAGCGAAACAGG
rnacentral:rRNA from 1 species